UUUUUGACACGUGUCCCUUAUCUUCUUUUCUUAUCUAGAAUGUAAUUUCUGAGGAUCAGAUUCCGACACGAAGAAGAAGCAAACUUAACUCGAAACAGAGCCGCGAGUCAAGAUUUUCUCUGGGUCCCACUGCCAGGUCAAGAUUUUUGUUUUAUGUUUUUUUGAGCUUCGUCUGUUUUAAAUGUAAAGCCCAAAUAAGAUAAGGCCCAUAUCAAAUUUAACUAUCGAAACCCACUUGAUCAUAUGAGUCAUUUUGUUUGUUUGCGUGGCCUUUUAAGGUUUCUUCUGUGA
rnacentral:lncRNA from 1 species